CAUACUUAUUGAAGAACGUAUCUUUUCAACUCAAGGUUUAGAUUUUAGAUCUAGAAUAAGUGCUAAUCUAGAUCUAUAGUCUAUAGAUUUAGAGACUCUAGAUCUAUAUCUAUAUAUCUAGAUUAAAUAACGAUGUCAUUAGACAUAAUUAUAAUUCGUGGCAGUAUAAGUAUUCAUCAUGGAUUUCUUACACGAACUCGAUUUAAAAGCCAUGGUAUUGGUACCAUUUCUCAUGUUCUAAGAAGUUUGUCACGGUGCGCCUGCUCUGUAAAACCAGUGUCAAGAGUGUCAUGUCUUGGAGUACACCCUCUCACCGAGAAACUCAGCCAUCGGCAUGCUACACUGUUAACUUCACAUGUAAAGCCGUUGGUGUCACCCAAGUUUAGUACGCUGUCUUCAAAGUGUUCUAUACAUUUCCAUUUCAAUAGCUGCAAACUGUGGAGAUACUCCAAGAAUGCUUUACCGUCAGUAGCAAGCUUUUCUACUGAACAAAAGCACACUGAUGUAAAGAUAGCUGACAAAUUAAAGGAAGGACAUGAAUCUGAUUUAGACAAAGGUUCUCUGGAUGUUAAUUCGUUAUUGUAUGACAUACAAAAGGAUUUUAGUGAUACAAAAAAUGCAUCUGAAUCUUCAGAGCCAGAUGAAAAGAAAUCAGAAAAGAAGUCUUCCUCGGAGCCCAAACUCACUCCAACACCAACUAGUCUUUUUACCAGAGAUCAACUUACAUUUGAAGAGGCAAAUCGUACAACAACAGAAUUUGAGUAUGAUUACCGAGUUGCAGAAGACAUUGAAGAAUAUGAGUAUAAAGAUGAAAGAGAAAUGUCACAGCAAAUGAUUCGGCCUGAAAAGGUUCUUCCAAUCAGUUUAGAACGAGGAGAAACUGGUGUAUUUGAAUUAGAGGAGCUGUUAGUGUUUUUAAAUCACCUGGGCGCAGAGAACAUUGUUACCAUCCCAAUUCCUUAUGAAGCCAAUUUUUGUGAUCAUAUGGUGGUUGCUUCAGCCAAGUCAAAGCGUCAUCUGUAUGCCAUAAAUGAUGAGUUUUUGUGGGUGCACAAAAGAAAAAAAUUGGACACUGAUCCUCAUUUGGUUAUUGAAGGCCUCAACAAAAGUGAUUGGACUGCAUUAGACUUAGUAUUGAAGAACUCUUGGUGGAAAGUUUGCGCCUUGUUGUCCAAACAUUGUCAGGCAAUAUUGUCCUACACAUCUUCUAUGGGAAUGCCAGGGAGCACUAUGAUAUUGAAUCAUUGUGGACGCUAGGGCCAGAAAAUGACCCAAAGUGUAAAGAACAAAAUGACGUAUCUGCCCUUUCUGCAGAAAGUUUAUUCUGGCUGGAGACAUCAAAGAAACAUGAAGCUGAUGAAAUCCCAGAGAACUCUAAAGCUACAUCUGUUGAUACAAAAACAUAAAAAUAUUUAUAAUUCUUUUAAGGUUAUACACAUUUUUUAUCCUGUUAAUAUUUUAAAUAAAUUGCAAUGAAAACGUUA